UAGGGAAUCUUCGGCAAUGGGGGCAACCCUGACCGAGCAACGCCGCGUGAGUGAAGAAGGUUUUCGGAUCGUAAAGCUCUGCUGUAAGAGAAGAACGUGUGUGAGAGUGGAAAGUUCACACAGUGACGGUAACUUACCAGAAAGGGACGGCUAACUACGUGCCAGCAGCCGCGGUAAUACGUAGGUCCCGAGCGUUGUCCGGAUUUAUUGGGCGUAAAGCGAGCGCAGGCGGUUUAAUAAGUCUGAAGUUAAAGGCAGUGGCUUAACCAUUGUUCGCUUUGGAAACUGUUAAACUUGAGUGCAGAAGGGGAGAGUGGAAUUCCAUGUGUAGCGGUGAAAUGCGUAGAUAUAUGGAGGAACACCGGUGGCGAAAGCGGCUCUCUGGUCUGUAACUGACGCUGAGGCUCGAAAGCGUGGGGAGCAAACAGG
rnacentral:rRNA from 1 species